UGCAGUCGAGCGAGAUCUUCGGAUCUAGCGGCGGACGGGUUAGUAACGCGUGGGAACGUACCCAAAGGUAGGGAAUAGCCACUGGAAACGGUGAGUAAUACCCUAUGUGCCCUUCGGGGGAAAGAUUUAUCGCCUUUGGAUCGGCCCGCGUUAGAUUAGAUAGUUGGUGGGGUAACGGCCUACCAAGUCUACGAUCUAUAGCUGGUUUUAGAGGAUGAUCAGCAACACUGGGACUGAGGCACGGCCCAGACUCCUACGGGAGGCAGCAGUGGGGAAUCUUGGACAAUGGGGGCAACCCUGAUCCAGCCAUGCCGCGUGAGUGAUGAAGGCCCUAGGGUCGUAAAGCUCUUUCGCCUGUGAAGAUAAUGACUGUAGCAGGUAAAGAAACCCCGGCUAACUCCGUGCCAGCAGCCGCGGUAAUACGGAGGGGGUUAGCGUUGUUCGGAAUUACUGGGCGUAAAGCGCGCGUAGGCGGACUGGAAAGUUGGGGGUGAAAUCCCAGGGCUCAACCCUGGAACUGCCUCCAAAACUAUCAGUCUAGAGUUCGAGAGAGGUGAGUGGAAUUCCGAGUGUAGAGGUGAAAUUCGUAGAUAUUCGGAGGAACACCAGUGGCGAAGGCGGCUCACUG
rnacentral:rRNA from 1 species